rnacentral:rRNA from 1 species
AGCGAACGCUGGCGGCAGGCCUAACACAUGCAAGUCGAACGAAGCCUUCGGGCUUAGUGGCGGACGGGUGAGUAACACGUGGGAACGUACCUUUUGGUUCGGAACAACUCAGGGAAACUUGAGCUAAUACCGGAUGAGCCCUUAGGGGGAAAGAUUUAUCGCCGAAAGAGCGGCCCGCGUUAGAUUAGCUAGUUGGUGAGGGAAAGGCUCACCAAGGCUACGAUCUAUAGCUGGUCUGAGAGGAUGAUCAGCCACACUGGGACUGAGACACGGCCCAGACUCCUACGGGAGGCAGCAGUGGGGAAUCUUGCGCAAUGGGCGAAAGCCUGACGCAGCCAUGCCGCGUGAAUGAUGAAGGUCUUAGGAUUGUAAAAUUCUUUUACCAGGGACGAUAAUGACGGUACCUGGAGAAAAAGCCCCGGCUAACUUCGUGCCAGCCGCCGCCGUAAGAC